rnacentral:rRNA from 1 species
UUGCACGCUGGCGGCGUGCUUUACCCAUGCCAGUCGGACGGCAGCACAGAGAAGCUUGCUUCUUGGGUGGCGAGUGGCGAACGGGUGAGUAAUAUAUCGGAACGUACCGAGUAAUGGGGGAUAACUAAUCGAAAGAUUAGCUAAUACCGCAUAUUCUCUGAGGAGGAAAGCAGGGGACCUUCGGGCCUUGCGUUAUUCGAGCGGCCGAUAUCUGAUUAGCUAGUUGGUGGGGUAAAGGCCUACCAAGGCGACGAUCAGUAGCGGGUCUGAGAGGAUGAUCCGCCACACUGGGACUGAGACACGGCCCAGACUCCUACGGGAGGCAGCAGUGGGGAAUUUUGGACAAUGGGCGCAAGCCUGAUCCAGCCAUGCCGCGUGUCUGAAGAAGGCCUUCGGGUUGUAAAGGACUUUUGUCAGGGAAGAAAAGGCUGUUGCUAAUAUCAAUAGCUGAUGACGGUACCUGAAGAAUAAGCACCGGCUAACUACGUG